rnacentral:tRNA from 1 species
UGGCUCAAUUGGUAGAGCAUGGUGUUUGCAACGCCAGGGUUGUGGGUUCAAUUCCCAC